GGAGGGGUGCCAGAGUGGUUGAUUGGGGCGGUCUCGAAAACCGUUGUAGCGUCCUGCGCUACCGUGGGUUCGAAUCCCACCCCCUCCG
rnacentral:tRNA from 1 species